rnacentral:rRNA from 1 species
UAACGCGUGGGUAACCGUGCCUCAUACAGGGGGAUAACAGUUAGAAAUGACUGCUAAUACCGCAUGAGCGCACAGUGCUGCAUGGCACAGUGUGAAAAACUCCGGUGGUAUGAGAUGGACCCGCGUCUGAUUAGCUAGUUGGUGGGGUAACGGCCUACCAAGGCGACGAUCAGUAGCCGGCCUGAGAGGGUGAACGGCCACAUUGGGACUGAGACACGGCCCAA